rnacentral:tRNA from 1 species
GGCAAUGUGGCUUAGUGGUAAGAGUGCUUGCCUGGCAUUCAUGAAGCCCUUGGUUUGACUCCUCAGUGCCA